ACGAACGCUGGCGGCGUGCUUAACACAUGCAAGUCGCACGGAAAGGCCCUGCUUUUGUGGGGUGCUCGGGUGGCGAACGGGUGAGUAACACGUGAGUAACCUGCCCUUGACUUUGGGAUAACUUCAGGAAACUGGGGCUAAUACCGGAUAGGAGCUCCUGCUGCAUGGGGGGGGUUGGAAAGUUUCGGCGGUUGGGGAUGGACUCGCGGCUUAUCAGCUUGUUGGUGGGGUAGUGGCUUACCAAGGCUUUGACGGGUAGCCGGCCUGAGCGGGUGACCGGCCACAUUGGGACUGAGAUACGGCCCAGACUCCUACGGGAGGCAGCAGUGGGGAAUAUUGCACAAUGGGCGGAAGCCUGAUGCAGCAACGCCGCGUGCGGGAUGACGGCCUUCGGGUUGUAAACCGCUUUCGCCUGUGACGAAGCGUGAGUGACGGUAAUGGGUAAAGAAGCACCGGCUAACUACGUG
rnacentral:rRNA from 1 species